UACGGAGGGUGCAAGCGUUAUCCGGAUUCACUGGGUUUAAAGGGUGCGUAGGAGGGCAGGUAAGUCAGUGGUGAAAUCUCCAAGCUUAACUUGGAAACUGCCGUUGAUACUAUCUGUCUUGAAUAUUGUGGAGGUGAGCGGAAUAUGUCAUGUAGCGGUGAAAUGCUUAGAUAUGACAUAGAACACCAAUUGCGAAGGCAGCUCACUAGGCAAUCAUUGACUCUGAGGCACGAAAGCGUGGGGAUCAAACAGG
rnacentral:rRNA from 1 species